CCCAUACCCUAUAGCAGUCACUCCCAAUUCUCUUCUUCCACCCAUUCCCUGGAAACCACUAAUCUACUUUCCGUCUCUUUGGAUUUAACUACUCAGGACAUUUUAUAUCAACAAAAAAGGAAAGAUCAAAAGAAAGAGAGAGAGAAAGAAAAGGAAGGAUGGAAGGAAGGAAGGAAGGAAGGAAAGAAGGAAGGAAGGAAGCAAACUGCGGAGAAACUCACAAUCCAGACAAGACGUCCGCUCAAUUUUGGAUUGUAUCAUUCCAGAAUUUUCCACAACAUACUUAAUUAGCCUCUAAUUUUUUUAAUAAAACAUUUCUAACAUUGUGCUAUUUUAAAC
rnacentral:lncRNA from 1 species